GCCAGUGUGGUGUAGUGGUUUGGAUGUUGGACUAGGACCCUGGAGAGUGGGGUUCAAAUCCCCACUUAGCG